ACAGCAACUCAGGAGCAAUAAAACUAAACCAGACUGGAGGCAUGCUGAAACAUUUGAGAACAGGUAGUGGUACUAUAGAUAUAUGCACUGUGGAUUAGGAUCACAGUAAAGAAGCCUGGAGUCUCAGAGAAGUAUGGCUCCAGGUUCUGCAUGGAGUAGGAUCCCAGUCAGCAGCAGGAGAAGCUUCUCUACUUUAGUGACCCUGUUCCAUUGUUCCUGGUAUAUACAGCUUUCUACUUUAGUGACCCUGUUCCAUCGUUCUUGGUACAGGAUCACUUCAGUUAUAAGUAACGCAUGUGCAAGUUCUGUUCAAGCUACAUUUUGCUCGCUUUUAUUAGACAAAGAAGCUUUAACACCGAAAGCUGCCACUAUCAAAAGUACUAACUUGUUGUGUGGAGGCUACUUAUGCUGUAAACGCAGUGCUAGAACAUCCAGCAGCUGAUGGCCAACUCACCUCUAGGUCCAGGCUGGAACGCCUCCACAUAGUCAGCCAAGGCAGGGUACCCAUACUCUCUGGCCACAACAGCAGCAGUUCGUCCAGAACCGCUGAACGAUGCUGCAGAUACUCUCUCUGCCCUAUCAGCCAAAAAUGGAGCUUUGCGAGACUAUUUUCAUAGAAAACCUCAAUCCCAGGCCGAUCCGUCUCCAAUUGAACGCUAGGUCACCUUCUCGAGGCUAGCACAAUGUUAGAUGGUGUUGAUAAAGCCACAGUAUUACAUCACACAUCUUCGUCAGCUCAAGCAUCUGAUCUGAUGAGGUUUCAAGCGUAAGGACGUCAACAACAUAGAACCUUUUGAGAGUGCAGCCGAUACUGAAAAUGAACCAUUCUCAACUAUCCCAAAAAAUGGUUUAUAAGUACAAUUUCAUGUGCGCAGCAUCUCAACAAACUUCUAGUAUACUCUAUGGGAUGCCAGAGCAGAUUGGAACAGCCUGGCCAUACAGUUGGACAUACCGUCAGGAACGCGUAUACACUGUUAAAAAUGGGGUGUUACGUAGCACACUAAUUUUAGUAGGUAAAUGUCAGUGGUGUGUUAAUGAACACACUCGUGUGUUUGUCGUACUCAACAACACACUUGGAGUGUAAUAGAACACACUUGGGUGACACAACAGAAUGGUGUGUUACUGAACACACUGACAUCCAUACAGUGGUGUAAAGUAGCACACGAUAUAUAAGAUAUUAAGAAGGUCUUUUUACUUUUCAGAUACCAGAAUUAAUAUUUAUGUUCCACUUAGUACAGUUAGAUCACCAAGAGUGCUAAGUAUGUGCAAGUGAAAUAAGAGUUGAAAUGCUGCAGUCCCUGCAAAUGCGGAAAACAACUUGCUAUCACUCUCAAAGGAAGCUUUAUACUUUGCAAACCCAGAAAUCCAGGUCCUAAAAGUAUGGCUAUAGUAUAUAGAAGCCUGCAAGAUUCUACAUGCAUGCUAUAUAGAGCUAAGUGGCUAAGUCCAGACCUUCUGUGUGCGCAUGCGCAUUGAGGCUAGAAGCACAUGUAGUGUGCUUUAAUUAAAAUCAACAAAGACUCAAGAACUGGAGAAGAACUCAAUUUAGCUCUAUACUAACUGCACUGAGUGUUUAGCUUUCCUGAAGAACAUACACUACUGCAGCACUUCAUGGAGCUUCCAAAGGCCAUUCAUGUGCCCAGAACUUGACCUCAUUUUUGACUUGAGCACUGGUUUGGGUACAGAAGUGACUAUUCUCUGGGACAUACUAACUGCUAUAAAUGUGCAGAAAAGUAUCCAGGACAAGACAAGAUGACAAGAUGACAAGAUGACUUCAAUCAAAAUGUGCUACUGCUGCUGUGCGCUCUUUCGUCAAAAAGGGAACAUGUGAUGUGCUGUCAUUAACAGUAAUGUGUUGUAAUAAUCCGUAUAACAUUUAAAUAGUCAUUCGUUGUAUAGAUGUGUUUUUAAUUUGUGUUAAAUGACUUGUACAUUUCGUUGAAA